UGAAAACCCGGCAGGAGCAUUCUAAG
rnacentral:piRNA from 1 species